CGGUCUGUACGGUAUGUAUACGUAUAUACGGUAUGUACAAUUUCAUACCGUAGCCGAGCUAAAAAGUUGUGGGCCGAAUAGUAGGCCCGAAUAGUAAGCCCAAAUUUGGUUGGGCCUAUUCAAAAUGCGUUUGGUUCGGCCGAUUGGUAGGCCCAAAUAGUAAGCCCAAUUGUUCGGCCGAUUUGUAGGCCCAAAUAGUAAGCCCAAUUGUUCGGCCGAUUGGUAGGCACAAAUAGUAAGCCCAAUUGUUCGGCCCGAAUGGUAGGCCCAAAUGUUAAGCCCAAUUGUUCGGCCCAAAUGGUAGGCCCAAAUGUUAAACCCAAAUUGGUUCGGGCCGGUUCGAAAUGUGGAUGGUUCGGUUUCUUCGGCCCAAUUGGCCAGCCCUGAUGCUUAGCCCAAGGAUUGAGCAAGCCCAAGUCAUCAUCACUGGGUGUCAGAUUUUAUUGGCAUGCUUUUGGGGAUGAUUUGUUUUGAGUGAUGCAUCUCUAUUGUUGUGUAGAAUAGUGCAUGCUUAAGUUUUACUAUAGAGAUUUACCGUGAUGCUAAUUGAGUAGCGAAACGCUUUGUGAGAAUGUUUACUGUGCUUGUAUGCCAGUACAGGAUGAUGAUCUAUGUGAAGAUCUAUGUGAUGAUCUAUGAGAUGAUCUAUGUGAAGAUCUAUGUGAGGAUCCAUGUGGUGAUUUUGUGUGAGUUUACUUUUGUGAUGAAAGAAUUUGUGGCCUUAGGAAUGUAUUUUUAUACAAAGGGCUGUGGCUUUGUAGAUUACUACAGCUUUGGAAAGGAUGGAGAUUCGAUGGUUAGGUUAACCGUAAUCGAGAGCAAUUAACUUGCGCUUAAAUUUCGGGACGAAAUUUCUUUAAGGAGGGUGGAUUGUAAUACCCGAAAAAUUCAAGUUAAUUUCCGAUGACGUUUUGGAAAUGAUUUCGUGGUCGUGGACACGAGUACGAAGCUUAGAGGAGUGUGGAAUUAGUUCGAACGAUUUUAUUUUGAAAACUGAACGUUUUAGGGGGGUCAAAGGAGUUGACUUUUUAUACAUUGGGAAAUUGGGAAAACUUCCUUCAUGAAAGUUGUAGAGCGCGUCGAUACGAGUUCGUGGACAUAUGGAACGUAAUAUUCGGAGUUCGUAUGAAUAAGUUACGAAUAUUUGAAAAUUGGGAUUUUCUAUAAAUAUGAAAAAAAAUCCGAAUAUUGCAAAUGAGGACAGAAUUUCUGGAACUCCAGAAAUUUCUCCCCAUUUCUCUCCCGAGCCCAGCCGCGACCCCCUCCCUUCGUCACCUUCGUUCUUCCUCAUCCGGCCACCGAUUGAUGUGAAACAAAGUGGGUUUUUCUGGUCUCGACCCCCUUUACGAGUUUGUAGAAGAAAUCGAAGUGAAAUACGAGCUGUAUGAGGCUCUACAAGGUCGAGAAGAGAGCCUCGUCGGAGACGAAAUCGCUCUUCCCCACUUUUUCUGGGCUCUACUUUGUCUGGCCAUAUCUUCCUCUACAGGCCUCCGAUCGACCUGAUUCCAAAAGCAAUUUUUCUCACCGUGAAGUUUUCUACAACUUUCCAGAAGACAUCGACUUGAGAUAACCAUCGUGGUGGCCGCUAGAAGACCGAGAAGCCGCACAGCCGAGCUGGAAAUCGUCUUCCUUCGCCACCUUGGUUCUCCCAGCUCCGGCCACUAUAGCUCGAGUUCUUUGAGGGCUUUUCUAGCCCAGAGGAAGUAGAAGCUAUCCCCAAGAAGGCUUGCAGCGAUUUGAUCCGGGGUGAUCGAAUUUUGAAGAUUGGGAAACUAGGGUUCUUCGGGUUUCAAAACUUGCGAGCGGGUAAUCCUGCAGGUCAGGAGAAUCAGGACGGUGAUCGUGCGGGUUAGAGAAUUUGUUUUAGUUUUACAGCAAUUGUAAUUGUGAGGUGAGUUAUGCUCAUUUGAGCCUUACAAUAUAAUUUGGUGAGAGUGUGCUGUAAUAAACAAAUUUGAGAUUUGGUUUAUGUAAUAUCGAGCGAUGUGAGGUGUGGUUGUUUUGAGAAAAAAUUCAGGUUGUAUUUAUGUGAGUUGUAUUAAUUCAUGUUUCGGA